rnacentral:rRNA from 1 species
UACGUAGGGUGCGAGCGUUGUCCGGAAUUACUGGGCGUAAAGAGCUCGUAGGCGGUUUGUCGCGUUGUUCGUGAAAUCUCACGGCUUAACUGUGAGCGUGCGGGCGAUACGGGCAGACUAGAGUACUGCAGGGGAGACUGGAAUUCCUGGUGUAGCGGUGGAAUGCGCAGAUAUCAGGAGGAACACCGGUGGCGAAGGCGGGUCUCUGGGCAGUAACUGACGCUGAGGAGCGAAAGCGUGGGGAGCGAACAGG